UGGAAGCCUUGUCCGCCAAUCUUGCAUGCCAGUUGAAUUAUUCUUGAAAUAGGAUGGAAACAAAAAUUGAAAUUCGAAUUCACUCCCUUUUUACGGAAAACAAUUUCUAUGCAGUGUAUACGGCGGCGAAGGUUGAAAAGUGUUUGCGCAACUAGGAUGGAGUAAUGCGUUAUAAACAGCUAUAACUUCGGAUCUAAUGCUCCGAUCGUAAUGAAAUUUGAACUUUAUAUAACCCCUUGAGGAGAGACGUACCUGUAACCGAUUCAGAAACAUCCGAAUUUGCUUUGGUUUAAG